CACGUAGGGCGCGAGCGUUGUCCGGAAUUAUUGGGCGUAAAGAGCUCGUAGGCGGCCUGUUGCGUCCGCUGUGAAAGCCCGGGGCCUAACCCCGGGUCUGCAGUGGAUACGGGCAGGCUAGAGGUAGGUAGGGGAGAAUGGAAUUCCCGGUGUAGCGGUGAAAUGCGCAGAUAUCGGGAGGAACACCGGUGGCGAAGGCGGUUCUCUGGGCCUUACCUGACGCUGAGGCACGAAGGCCAGGGGAGCAAACGGG
rnacentral:rRNA from 1 species